GGUCUUCAGGGCGAGGUGAAACUCCUCACUGGCGGUAACGCGAAACUUUCUACAAGGAAGCAAUGCGAAGCCCGCGACCCUUGUGCAAGCAAGGCUGAUCUGGUGCAAGUCCAGAGCCAACGGUUAUAGUCCGGAUGGAAGAAGACG
rnacentral:ncRNA from 1 species